rnacentral:rRNA from 1 species
UACGUAGGGGGCAAGCGUUGUUCGGAAUUAUUGGGCGUAAAGCGCGCGCAGGCGGUGAUGUAAGUUUGGUGUAUAAGCCCGAGGCUCAACCUCGGGACGCACUGAAAACUGUAUGACUGGAGUGCAGGAGAGGAAAGUGGAAUUCCACGUGUAGCGGUGAAAUGCGUAGAGAUGUGGAGGAACACCAGUGGCGAAGGCGACUUUCUGGCCUGUAACUGACGCUGAGGCGCGAAAGCGUGGGGAGCAAACAGG